rfam:Lachnoclostridium sp. An14 An14_contig_13, whole genome shotgun sequence.
UGAAAGCCCCGGAUGGCGACGAUAUAGAUGGGCGCGCCCUCGCGCAUAGAUAUAUCGGCAUCAGACGGGCAAGACGGUAUGAGAAAGUAGGGCGGCAGCCCGGAUUUCGAAUACCGUCGGCAGAUGGCGGGAACGCCGUAGGCGUGGAGCCAUCUGGCUUUCA